AACGAACGCUGGCGGCGUGCCUAACACAUGCAAGUCGAGCGCGAAAGGAGCAAUCCGAGUAGAGCGGCGCACGGGUGCGUAACACGUGGAUAAUCUGCCUCAGGGUUGAGGAUAACCUUCCGAAAGGUUGGCUAAUACUCGGUAAGCUUACGGUGACUUCGGUCGCUGUGAGAAAAAUAGACCUCUAUUUAUAAGUUUAGGCCCAGAGAUGAGUCAGCGGCCCAUCAGCUAGUUGGCGGGGUAACGGCCCACCAAGGCUACGACGGGUAGCUGGUCUGAGAGGACGAUCAGCCACACUGGAACUGAGACACGGUCCAGACUCCUACGGGAGGCAGCAGUGGGGAAUUUUCCACAAUGGGCGAAAGCCUGAUGGAGCAACGCCGCGUGUGUGAUGAAGGUCUUCGGAUCGUAAAGCACUUUCGACUGGGACGAAAAACCUUUGGCUAACAUCCAGGGGCCUGACGGUACCAGGAGAAGAAGCACCGGCUAACUCUGUGCCAGCAGCCGCAGUAAUAC
rnacentral:rRNA from 1 species